UAUUUGUGAUCCUUCUGAGGGUACAUUUGCCGAAACCUUAGUUAAAACCCUCUAUCCGUGAUGGGGUUGACCGCGCGACUCUAAAUAAGGAUGGUCGCCUGGACUUGGAACCGGUGGACGGUCCAGCCCAGGAUGCUAGCCAGCGGUAACCGCUGGUGACACCUUUAGUCUGCGGGAACAUUCGUAGAACAACCUGCAGCCGUGUCUUCUUUCCCACCGUUAAACAACAGGGGAUGAACCGACCGGCACACAGACUAGAUAACGGUGGACGUCACACCGAUAUUGUGACGUUUCAGACAUAGUCGCGCUCCCUGGAAAUGUCUCCGGGGACAAUCGCUCCGGCGAUGAGACCAACGUUCCGUAGGUGAACCUGCGGAAGGAUCAUUA
rnacentral:rRNA from 1 species